UUGAUUUUUAGUUUUUGCCACUCGUCGCUGGUCGACGGUCGUCGUUCUGUUAGUUUCGCCAAGCAAAGCCGAAAGAGAUUUUGAGUUUUUGAAGCGCUCAAGCAAAAUACUAGCUUUCUAAAGACUACGCUUCUGUGCGUCCGUGCUCGGUUGCGGAAUAAUAGUGUGUUUUUGUUGUUUUUGUUGGUCACUGCAAUUGACAUGUGAGCCGAGUGUUAUCUGCAUUCACCUGUUUGGACGGCUCUCAAGCGGCGCUAUGCCCUCUUUUCUGCGAGUGCCACACUCACGGCAGCUUAACGUGUUGUUGUUGUUAAUGUUUUUUUCUAGAAUUGUUAAAUUUGGUAUUUUUUUGGGGCGCACAGCAUUUUGCACUGAUUGCAAUUUGCCGAGCCGCCGUUUGGUUGCAAGUGUUUUUACCUGGAGAAUUCCGAGUCAAUUUGUGUUUGUCCAUGUGGAGUAAAGUAAUGUGGAAUUUCAAUGUUUAAACCAAUAUAAAAAACAAUAAAUAAUUGAUUAAAAGCUGAUAAGUUGAGAAUUUGAA